UAGGGAAUCUUCCACAAUGGGCGAAAGUCUGAUGGAGCAACGCCGCGUGAGUGAAGAAGGGUUUCGGCUCGUAAAACACUGUUGUAAGAGAAGAAUGACAUUGAGAGUAACUGUUCAAUGUGUGACGGUAUCUUACCAGAAAGGAACGGCUAAAUACGUGCCAG
rnacentral:rRNA from 1 species